AGAAUGGCCCUUGCUGCCACCAACAUGGAGACUUUGUACUGUGUCCCGUUCUUAGUGCUUGAAUGUCCCAACCUGAAGCUGAAGAAGCCGCCCUGGCUGCACAUGCUGUUGGCCAUGACUAUGUAUGCUCUGGUGGUGGUGUCUUACUUCCUCAUCACCAGAGGAAUCCUUUAUGAUGUUAUUGUUGAACCGCCAGGUGUUGGCUCUGUGACUGAUGAACAAGGGCAUCAGAGGCCAGUAGCUUUCUUGGCCUACAGAGUAAGUGGACAAUAUUAUUAUGGAAGGACUUGGAUCCAGCUUCCUGUUCACAAUGAGAGGUUUAGGUUUCAUAAUCCUGGACCGAUCGAAUGCACCAAAUAUCCCAAAACUCCAUAGAUUUCUUCUUCUAUUUGUUGGAUUCGUCUGUGUCCUAUUGAGUUUUUUUCAUGGCUAGAGUAUUCGUGAGAAUGAAACUGCCGGGCUAUCUAAUGGGUUAGAGUGCCUUUAAGAAGAAAUCAGUGGAUACUGGAUUUGCUCCUGUCAAUGAAGUUUUAAAGCCUGUCCAGUCCUCUAAUAUGAAAUGUAGAAAAGAAGGAAGAGCAGCAGUAAAAGAAAUAUCUAGUGGAAAACCAGGAAGUGUAUUGAAGCUUGGACUAGAAUUUCUUCUUUAUUAAAGAGACAAAUUUAUCACAGUAAUUUUUUUUUCCUGCUGACCAUAUUGCUAUACCAACAAUGAUGAGUGGCAUUUUCUUCUUAGUUU